rnacentral:lncRNA from 1 species
AUGUUACAGACGUCUGAGCGUUACACUGUAAACAGAGACACUCUCACUAUCAGAGGAGUGAAUGAGUCUGAUCAGGAUCAGUUCUGGUGUAGAGGACAGAGAGAUGGAAGACCAAACUCAUCACAGGAGAGUGAACGAAUAAAUCUGUCUGUUAAUGUCUCAGCAGCUUCAUCUUCUCUUCUGGUCACUGGUGUGGUUGUGGGAUUGAGUGUUUGUCUGUUGUUCUUCCUCUCACUGCUGCUGAUGUGGAGAUACAAGAAGAACAAAGAUCAGCAGCGUAACAUUAACCAGACAUCAGUCCCAAAUCAAUCUGCACAAUCUCAACUGGAAAACUCUCCUCUACAGUCUGGUCAGCCUCAAUAACUAAUUAUACACACACACACACACACACACACACACACACACACACACACACAUAUAUAUAUACAUACAUACAUACAGGUGCUUCUCUAUUAAUUAGAAUGUUGUGGAAAAGAUCAUUUAUUUCAGUAAUUCAAAAAGUUGUGAAACUUGUGUAUUAAAUAAAUUCAGUGCACACAGACUGAAGUAGUUUAAGUCUUUGGUUCCUUUAAUUGUGAUGAUUUUGGCUCACAUUUAACAAAAGCCCACGAAUUCACUAUCUCAACAAAUUAGAAUACUUUAUAAGACCAAUAAAGAAAACAUUUUUGUGAAUUGUUUGCCUUCUGGAAAGUAUGUUCAUUUACUGUACAUGUACUCAAUACUUGGUAGGGUCUCCUUUUGCUUUAAUUACUGCCUCAAUUCAGCGUGGCAUGGAGGUGAUCAGUUUGUGGCACUGCUGAGGUGGUAUGGAAGCCCAGGUUUCUUUGACAGUGGCCUUCAGCUCAUCUGGAAUUUUUGGUCUGUUGUUUCUCAUUUUCCUCUUGACAAUACUCCAUAGAUUCUCUCUGGGGUUCAGGUCUGGUGAGUUUGCUGGCCAGUCAAGCACACCAACACCAUGGUCAUUUAACCAACUUUUGGUGCUUUUGGCAGUGUGGGCAGGUGCCAAAUCCUGCUGGAAAAUGAAAUCAGCAUCUUCAAAAAGCUGGUUAGCAGAAGGAAGCA